CUACGGGGUGGUGAGCGGGCCCUCUGCUGGUAGGGGGGCGGAGCCGGAGGAGCCACCGCCUCCCUGCCUCCUGGGGACCCUGAGGGAGAAAUUCCCUUUAGGGCUGAAUGCUUGGGCAAGUGACACGUGGUUUUCCUACUGUCGCCCCAACCUUAAAAGAACGAAUCCAGGCGGGGCAUUAGCAGAUGAUUGAAAAGGAGACAAUCAUUUUGGAGCUCAAAAUCGUACUGUAGGCCGGGCGCAGUGGCUCACACCUGUAAUCCCAGCACUUUGGGAAGCUGAGCCUGUCAUCUUUUAGAGCUGUGUCUCCAGCCCAGGCCUGUCCUCUGAGUGCCGCCUGCCAACAUCUCCACGCAGAUGCCUCUUAUGCACCUCAAGCUCUUGCUUUCUUCAAAUCUGUUCCCCGCCACCGACUUCCCCAAACCUCCUCAGGUCAGUACAUGGCUUCACAGUCCAUACAAUCAUUCAAGCCAGAAAGUAGGAGUCAUCUUGAUUCUGAUGGGGUUCAGAACACCAUAUCCCAAAAUAUAGCACCAUGGCAUUUGGAAAACAGCAAAAGCAGGAAGAUCACUUUUUGACCUCCUCCUGCCCUUCUCCCCUGAAGCAGACCAUGAAAGAAUCAUCUGACCUUCCUCUGAAGAAGGCCCUCAUUCCAGGGGUGCCCAGCCUGUACCCAGAGGAGAGGAAUGUCCUUAUGUCUGAAGACACAGGGAUACAGAGAGGAAUAUGAACAAACAGGCCUUGCUAAGUUCUCUCAGUUUAUUGCCAUUAGAUCACAUCCCCUUUGUCCAGUCAUACUGCUGCAUGACUGUCCACUCCAUCAAAACUAAGCAUGAAAAGACACGGGGUUCCCUGUUCCUUUGGGUCUUCAUCUGUGGAUGCUUCCAUGCCGCGUAAAAUAUAUUCAAUAAAUGUGUAUGCUUUUCUCUUGUUA